GAUGAACGCUGGCGGCGUGCCUAAUACAUGCAAGUCGAGCGAACGGACGAGAAGCUUGCUUUUCUGAUGUUAGCGGCGGACGGGUGAGUAACACGUGGAUAACCUACCUAUAAGACUGGGAUAACUUCGGGAAACCGGAGCUAAGACCGGAUAAUAUUUUGAACCGCAUGGUUCAAAAGUGAAAGACGGUCUUGCUGUCACUUAUAGAUGGAUCCGCGCUGCAUUAGCUAGUUGGUAAGGUAACGGCUUACCAAGGCAACGAUGCAUAGCCGACCUGAGAGGGUGAUCGGCCACACUGGAACUGAGACACGGUCCAGACUCCUACGGGAGGCAGCAGUAGGGAAUCUUCCGCAAUGGGCGAAAGCCUGACGGAGCAACGCCGCGUGAGUGAUGAAGGUCUUCGGAUCGUAAAACUCUGUUAUUAGGGAAGAACAUAUGUGUAAGUAACUGUGCACAUCUUGACGGUACCUAAUCAGAAAGCCACGGCUAACUACGUG
rnacentral:rRNA from 1 species